rnacentral:rRNA from 1 species
UACGUAGGGGGCAAGCGUUGUCCGGAUUUAUUGGGCGUAAAGAGCGUGUAGGCGGCCAGACAGGUCCGUUGUGAAAACUCGAGGCUCAACCUCGAGACGCCGAUGGAAACCGUCUGGCUAGAGUCCGGAAGAGGAGAGUGGAAUUCCUGGUGUAGCGGUGAAAUGCGCAGAUAUCGGGAAGAACACCCGUGGCGAAGGCGGUUCUCUGGGACGGUACUGACGCUGAGACGCGAAAGCGUGGGGAGCGAACAGG